GACGGAGGAUGCUAGAGUUGUUAGGAAUUACUGGGCGUAAAGGGCGCGUAGGCGGCCUGGUCAGUCGGGUGUGAAAGCCCGGGGCUCAACCCCGGAACGGCACCCGAGACGGUCAGGCUGGAGACCGGGAGAGGAGGGUGGAAUAGCCAGUGUAGAGGUGAAAUUCGUAGAUAUUGGCUGGAACACCGGUGGCGAAAGCGGCUCUCUGGCCCGGUUCUGACGCUGAGGCGCGAAAGCGUGGGGAGCAAACAGG
rnacentral:rRNA from 1 species